rnacentral:rRNA from 1 species
UACAGAGGUGGCAAGCGUUGUUCGGAAUUACUGGGCGUAAAGGGCGCGUAGGCGGUUCGAUAAGUCCCGUGUGAAAUCCCUCGGCUCAACUGAGGAAUGGCACGGGAAACUGACGGGCUUGAGUUCGGGAGAGGGAAGCGGAAUUCCGGGUGUAGCGGUGAAAUGCGUAGAUAUCAGGAGGAACACCGGUGGCGAAGGCGGGUCUCUGGGCCGUAACUGACGCUGAGGAGCGAAAGCGUGGGGAGCGAACAGG